rnacentral:rRNA from 1 species
AUUGAACGCUGGCGGCAGGCCUAACACAUGCAAGUCGAGCGGAUGACGGGAGCUUGCUCCUUGAUUCAGCGGCGGACGGGUGAGCAAUGCCUAGGAAUCUGCCUGGUAGUGGGGGACAACGUUUCGAAAGGAACGCUAAUACCGCAUACGUCCUACGGGAGAAAGCAGGGGACCUUCGGGCCUUGCGCUAUCAGAUGAGCCUAGGUCGGAUUAGCUAGUUGGUGGGGUAAUGGCUCACCAAGGAGACGAUCCGUAACUGGUCUGAGAGGAUGGUCAGUCACACUGGAACUGAGACACGGUCCAGACUCCUACGGGAGGCAGCAGUGGGGAAUAUUGGACAAUGGGCGAAAGCCUGAUCCAGCCAUGCCGCGUGUGUGAAGAAGGUCUUCGGAUUGUAAAGCACUUUAAGUUGGGAGGAAGGGCAGUAAGUUAAUACCUUGCUGUUUUGACGUUACCGACAGAAUAAGCACCGGCUAACUCUGUGCCAGCAGCCGCUGUAAAAC